UACGGAGGAUGCAAGCGUUAUCCGGAAUGAUUGGGCGUAAGCGUUUAAGGUGGUUGGUAAGUCUACUGUUAAAUAUCAGGGCUUAACCCUGACAGGCAGUGGAACUAGCAAGCUUGAGUACGGUAGGGCGAAAGGAAUUCCCGGUGUAGCGGUGAAAUGCGUAGAUAUCGGGAAGAACACCAAAGGCGAAGCAGCUUGCUGGCCGAAACUGACACUGAUAGACGAAAGCUAGGGAGCGAAUGGG
rnacentral:rRNA from 1 species